rnacentral:rRNA from 1 species
UACGUAGGGUGCGAGCGUUGUCCGGAAUUACUGGGCGUAAAGAGCUCGUAGGUGGUUUGUCGCGUUUGUCCGUGAAAACUCACAACUCAAUUUGUGGGCGUGCGGGCGAUACGGGCAGACUGGAGUACUGCAGGGGAGACUGGAAUUCCUGGUGUAGCGGUGGAAUGCGCAGAUAUCAGGAGGAACACCGGUGGCGAAGGCGGCUCUCUGGGACGGUACUGACGCUGAGACGCGAAAGCGUGGGGGAGCAAACAGG